rnacentral:rRNA from 1 species
CCGGGGCGGCAAGGGCAGCGUGCGUAUUGGAUGUGAGAGGGUGGCCGGCCGCGUUGGUACUGAGACACGGCCCAAACUUAUACGGGAGGCAGCAGUAGGGAAUCUUCGGCAAUGGACGAAAGUCUGACCGAGCAACGCCGCGUGAGUGAAGAAGGUUUUCGGAUCGUAAAACUCUGUUGUUAGAGAAGAACAAGGAUGAGAGUAACUGUUCAUCCCUUGACGGUAUCUAACCAGAAAGCCACGGCUAACUACGUGCCAGCAGCCGCGGUAAUACGUAGGUGGCAAGCGUUGUCCGGAUUUAUUGGGCGUAAAGCGAGCGCAGGCGGUUUCUUAAGUCUGAUGUGAAAGCCCCCGGCUCAACCGGGGAGGGUCAUUGGAAACUGGGAGACUUGAGUGCAGAAGAGGAGAGUGGAAUUCCAUGUGUAGCGGUGAAAUGCGUAGAUAUAUGGAGGAACACCAGUGGCGAAGGCGGCUCUCUGGUCUGUAACUGACGCUGAGGCUCGAAAGCGUGGGGAGCAAACAGGAUUAGAUACCCUGGUAGUCCACGCCGUAAACGAUGAGUGCUAAGUGUUGGAGGGUUUCCGCCCUUCAGUGCUGCAGCUAACGCAUUAAGCACUCCGCCUGGGGGAGUACGACCGCAAGGGUUGAAACUCAAAGGAAAUUGACGGGGGCCCGCACAAGCGGGUGGAGCAUGUGGUUUUAAUUUCGAAAGCAACGCGAAGAACCUUUACCAGGUCUUGACAUCCUUUGAACACUCUAGAGAUAGAGCUCCCCUCGGGGGGCAAGUGACAGUUGUUGCAUGCUGGUCGUCAGCUCGUGUCCGUGGAGAUGGUUGGG